CAAGGGAUCAAUGGACUGGUCUCAUCUGGUAUUGGCUUUCUGAUAAAGCAAAGAAGCGUAGUCAAGCAAAUAGAAUCAGUAGGGCUAAGCAAAAGAUGCCUCACACCGGAGGAUCCAAAAGCAUAGCAACUUUGAUGAAUGAAAAGGUUCAUGAUGCCAAUAGCGGCAAUAAACAAGCAGCACAAGAACCAUGAAUGCCAUCAGUGACAUCAAGUUCCUUGUUAUCGCAAGGAAACAAACUGGAGCAACAGAUUCCUAGACAUAUGCCUUAUAUAUUAGCAAUGCUAUUGGCAGAGUGAUGGCGCUUUAACCUAUCGCUUCAUUCCAGUUUGAACUGAGGGAGCAUAUGAAGUUAAACAAGGAAAUUUGGCUCUAAGGUCACACAACGAUAGCUGACAAGAGUAUCACAUUGUUAAUAAAAGGAAGAGAAGAUUGAGAAUAUCACACUGUUGAUGAGAGACUCGGUUUCCAAUUUGAUGUUUAGUUGUCUUGUA